rnacentral:rRNA from 1 species
UACGUAGGGGGCAAGCGUUGUCCGGAUUUAUUGGGCGUAAAGAGCGUGUAGGCGGCCGUACAGGUCAGCUGUGAAAACUCGAGGCUCAACCUCGAGACGUCGGUUGAAACCGUACGGCUAGAGUCCGGAAGAGGAGAGUGGAAUUCCCGGUGUAGCGGCGGAAUGCGCAGAUAUCAGGAGGAACACCAAUAGCGAAGGCAGCUCGCUGGGACGGUAUUGACGCUAAGGCGCGAAAGCGUGGGGAGCAAACAGG